UAUAAACAUAACCCUAUGUGUUCAAUAUACACAAGGGAUUUACCCUAUUCUUUCUUUUCCUUUAAUAUGGUAUCUAGAGCAUAAGGUUAGAGUUUAGGGUUUAGGGUUCAAUUUUUAUUGGUGAAUCCACUAUUCACUGGAAUUUUCCAGCCACCACCCCCACUGUCUCGUCGUACCCGCCUCCGGACCUUCGCCGGACCUUCG
rnacentral:lncRNA from 1 species